rnacentral:rRNA from 1 species
AGUGAACGCUGGCGGUAGGCCUAACACAUGCAAGUCGAACGGCAGCACAGUAAGAGCUUGCUCUUACGGGUGGCGAGUGGCGGACGGGUGAGGAAUACAUCGGAAUCUACUUUUUCGUGGGGGAUAACGUAGGGAAACUUACGCUAAUACCGCAUACGACCUACGGGUGAAAGCAGGGGAUCUUCGGACCUUGCGCGAUUGAAUGAGCCGAUGUCGGAUUAGCUAGUUGGCGGGGUAAAGGCCCACCAGGGCGACGAUCCGUAGCUGGUCUGAGAGGAUGAUCAGCCACACUGGAACUGAGACACGGUCCAGACUCCUACGGGAGGCAGCAGUGGGGAAUAUUGGACAAUGGGCGCAAGCCUGAUCCAGCCAUACCGCGUGUGUGAAGAAGGCCUUCGGGUUGUAAAGCCCUUUUGUUGGGAAAGAAAAGCAGCAGGUUAAUACCCCGCUGUUCUGACGGUACCCAAAGAAUAAGCACCGGCUAACUUCGUG